CAUGUCUAAGUACAUGCCGUAUUAAGGCGAAACCACGAAUGGCUCAUUAAAUCUGUUAUGGUACCUUACUAGCUGGAUAACUGUGGCAAUUCUAGAGCUAAUACAGGCAGCAGAGCUCCGACCCUCUGGGGACGAGCACUUUUAUUAGAACAAAACCAAUCGGACCUCGUGUCCCUAUUAUGUGGUGACUCUGUAUAACUUUGAGCUGAUCUCACGGGCUCGUCCCGGCGACGUAUCUUUCAAGUGUCAACUAUCGAUGGUAGGUUACGCGCCUGCCAUGGCCAUAAUGGGUGAUGGAUAAUCAGGGUUCGAUUCCGGAGAGGGAGCCUGAGAAACAGCUAACACAUCCAAGGAAGAUAG
rnacentral:ncRNA from 1 species